rnacentral:rRNA from 1 species
AGACCACGGGGGUUUCGGCCACUGAGGUCAAAGAUGGCCUCUGCCUGCAAGCUCGUUUGAGGAUGGGCCCGCGUCCCAUUAGCUAGUUGGUGGGGUAAAAGCACCAAGGCGACGAUGGGUAGCUGGUCUGAGAGGAUGGCCAGCCACACUAACUGACACACGGUCCAGACUCCUACGGGAGGCAGCAGUGAGGAAUUUCGCAAUGGGGGAAACCCUGACGCAGCAACGCCGCGUGAGUGUGAAGGCCUUCGGGUUGUAAAGCUCUGUCGAGUGGGAAGAAUUUUUUGGCUGAAUAAUCCGAAAAAUUGACGGUACCCGCUGAAGGAAGCACCCGUAACUCCGUGCCAGCAGCCGCGGUAAUACCGGAGGGUGCAAGCGUUAUGAUUUAUUGGGCGUAAAGGGCGUGUA